GGGGAACAAGCUUGUCUUGAGGGAAUGCUGGUGGAACCUGGUGAAUCUGUGACCCAUAAAAUCCCUUUUUGAAAAUUACAUGCUUUAUAAUAUAGUGCUGUUAACUUCAAAAAACAGGUUAGUCUUUGAUCUCGGGAGAGGGUGCGGAUUAGUAUUUCUCACCUUUAAGAGAAGCAGAGAGAAAUGGGGAAGACUGGCCAUGUGAUUCCUGCCUCAGCAAGGAGACACAGGAAAAAUAGACUGACGUCCCACAGAGAAAAGUCUCUCCCCGAUGGGGUUUCCCCUGGGAUGGAAUGCACACGUUCAUCCAACCUCCAUCUACCAAAGCAGUCAUCUAUCAUUCUACAUUCUACUGUGCAACUGCUUCUUUAGAAAAUGGAAAUGAACCUGCCACAACGACCUGAAUAAAGAUUUCUGA